UACAGAGACUGCAAGCGUUAUUCGGAUUCACUGGGCGUAAAGGGUGCGCAGGCGGUUGUGUGUGUCAGGUGUGAAAGCCCGGGGCUUAACCCCGGAAUUGCGCCUGAAACUACAUGACUAGAGCAUUGGAGAGGGUAGCGGAAUUCACGGUGUAGCAGUGAAAUGCGUAGAUAUCGUGAGGAACACCAGAGGCGAAGGCGGCUACCUGGACAAUAGCUGACGCUCAGGCACGAAAGCGUGGGGAGCAAAAGGG
rnacentral:rRNA from 1 species